rnacentral:rRNA from 1 species
CCUACGGGUGGCAGCAGUGAGGAAUAUUGGGCAAUGGACGCAAGUCUGACCCAGCAACGCCGCGUGAAGGAAGAAGGCGUUCGGGUUUUAAACUUCUUUUAGGGGGGAGGAGCAGAAGACGGUACCCCUUGAAUAAGCGACGGCUAAUUCCGUGCCAGCAGCCGCGGUAAUACGGAAGGUCCGGGCGUUAUCCGGAUUUAUUGGGUUUAAAGGGAGCGUAGGCCGGCUUUUAAGUCAGCUGUGAAAGUCCGCGGCUCAACCGUGGAAUUGCAGUUGAAACUGGAGGCCUUGAGUGCACACAGGGAUGCCGGAAUUCAUGGUGUAGCGGUGAAAUGCUUAGAUAUCAUGAAGAACUCCGAUCGCGAAGGCAGGUGUCCGAGGUGCAACUGACGCUGAGGCUCGAAAGUGCGGGUAUCAAACAGGAUUAGAUACCCGAGUAGUC